GAUGAACGCUGGCGGCGUGCCUAACACAUGCAAGUCGAGCGAAGCGCUUAAAUUAGUUUUCUUCGGAAUGACGAUUUUUGUGACUGUUCGGCGGACGGGUGAGUAACGCGUGGUUAACCUGCCUCUUACAGGGGGAUAACAGUUAGUAAUGACUGCUAAUACCGCAUAAGACCCCAGCUUCGCAUGAAUCUGUGGUAAAAACUCCGGUGGUAUGGGAUGGACCCGCGUCUGAUUAGCUAGUUGGUACGGUAACGGCUUACCAAGGCGACGAUCAGUAGACGAGAAGAGAGGGAGACCGGACAAAUUGGGACAGAGACACGGCACAGACUACGACGGGAGGGAGCAGAGGGGAAUAAUGCAAAAUGGGGGAAACCAUGAAGAAGCGACGACGCGUGAAGGAUGAAGUAUUUAGGUAAGAAAACUACAAUCAGAAGGGAAGAAAGUGACGGUACCUGACAAAGAAGCCCCGGCUAACUACGUG
rnacentral:rRNA from 1 species